UUGAGACAAGAAUUAAUAUUCCAAUUUGAUAGAGGGAGAAACUGAAAAGGGAUAUGGGCAGAUCACCUGAUGGGCCUCUGGUAGUGAAGCUGGUGAGUGUCCGCAUCGGUUAAGACUCUUUCAGUUGCUGGGGCAGAAAACCCGAUUCAAACUAAAUAAGAAGGGGAGUGGCUGCUCAUGUAAGCUAAAAUGUUCAGGGGUAGAUCUAGCUUUAGCUGAGUCCUGUUUCAGGGUCCAAAUGAUGUCACAAGGCUCCACUAUUUUGCACUGGUUCCUCUGGGUGGAACACAUUAAUGGGUUCUGCCUGGUGACUUCAGUGGCUUCAGGUUAUCAUCGCUGUAGCAUCUGUUCCAGCAGAAGACAUCAUUCGCUUCCCUGAGCAUGGCGACACAAGUCAGAGAACUGAGCUUUGGUGACAAAUCAAGAGAACGCCCUUCUCCUGCAUGGAGAUACAUCGCCAGACCAACAGAUAAUUCUAGGAUGAAACAAGGAAAGGACAAUUGUAUAUAUGAAGGUGGAGAAGCAUGCAUAUUAUUCCACUGAAAAUACCCUCUGGACCUACGAGAAAGGACUAACCUAAAGUCAAGCACAGAGAAGAGAUAGAUAUCAUCAAAUUAAAAAGUACAAUACAAUUGUGUGCUCUUUUUCCCCAAUAAAAAAUAAAGAAGUGGGGGCUACAACCUCAAAGUGAACAAACAGAGAGAAAGCAGAGAUCCUAAUAUCUGAUGACUUUGAAAGAUCUUUGAAGAGGAACCCAUCUCAGAAUUCAAGAGAGAUCUGAUUUUAAUUCCCAGCUCUACCAUCAAAAAGUCCAGUCUGCUCCCCAGUGUCUCUAAGUGUAGAGAGAGAAAUUCUUACCUUGGCUAUCAGCUAUCACCAAACUUACUAUAGUGAAGAAAUGAAGUUACAAUUAUGACAGGAAUAUCACAAUGCCAUGAGGAUGCAGGAUUUUAUGAUCUAUUCCAAGAAAUAAGAUGAUAAGGAAAGUUUGUAUGCAGUAGAAAGAAUAUGGGAUUUGGAGUCAAAGUUAUGUCCAAAUUCUGAGUUGACCCCUAAUGAACUGUGUUACCUUAUAAGUCAUUUAACACCUCAGCCUUAUUUUUCACAAUCUUACAAUAUCUACUUCAUGGAAUUAUUAUGAAAUAUCAGAUAAUACAUGUAAAGGGUCUACAAUUGUGUAAGGCCCAGAGUGGGUACUCAAUGAAGAUUAGGUAUUAUUGAAAAGUGUUAAAUAAAACAUAUGAGGCGAAGAAGGCAGAAUGCAGAACUAAUAUUAUGAUCUAGUUUGUGAGAACUUCAUCCUCCUAGCACCAUGAAUAGAUUACUUACCGUGGAGAGGAACAUAAACUUCAGGAU
rnacentral:lncRNA from 1 species